AACAUGUUUUCACUAAAGUGCUGUGCUAGUGUGAUUAUCAGUAAUGUGACUUUCUUGAGUAGGUUGUUCAACUGCUUGACUAGCUUGAGUGGGGUGUGCUGUAGGUUGUUCAGUUGCUUGAGUUCCUUAAGUUGCUUGAGUUGCUUAAGUUGCUUGAGUUGCUUGAGUUGAUUGAGUGGGGUCUGAUGUAGGUUGUUCAGUUGCUUGAGUUCCUUGAGUUGGUUGAGUGGGGUCUUGCUGCUCACUUGGUUGAGUAGGGUCUGUUGUAGGUGUUGGGUGUUGUUGUUGAGUUGCUUGAGGGCAAUUGGGUCUUCUAUGCCCUACUUGUCUACAACAACUACAUCUCUUUGGGAUUCCAGCUUGUCCAAGUUGUGUAUCGUCUCUCUUUUGCUCCUAGCUUUCCAAUCUUCUUUUUUUCCUUGGUCUACCAGGCAAGACCCGAUUUGGAGGUGGCAAAAUAUCAGGAAAUUGAGUCCUUUCCCAUAGCUCAGGUCCAUUGAGAGGAAAUAUUAUUGGGAUAUAAGUUUCCUCAUAAGUGGAGGUUCUAAACCAAAUAGGCAAGUAGUCUUCUGGAGUGAUGUUUAAAAACCUCAUGGUUGUGAGUGCAUGGCAGCAAGGGAUCCCAGAGACAGUCCACUUCCUACAGCUACAUUCUCUUUUUUUGUACAUCAACCAUAACCUUUUCACCAAGGUUGGAAGCAUGGCGGAUAUCAAAUACUUGCAGCGCAGACCAACUGCCAAAAGAAUAAAAAUAUGAGUAUAAAUAUGAAACAAAGUGAGUAUGUCAUGCAAACAAGUCAUAACUUACUUAGGUAUCCAAUAUUGUGUCUUCUCUAGCUCCUUUUGUAGUCUUUUCUUAAUUUUAGGACAAAUGGGACCAUCAAACUUAGUUAUCUUCUCUCUAUUGGAUGCCCACCUCUUCAUUAGGUAGCUUCGAAUGUCCUCCAACAUUGUUAUGAUUGGUUUUUCCCUUGCCUCUAANAUCACGCUAUUGAAACCUUCACAUAUGUUAUUAACAAUUGUGUCACAUGCAGGUCUUGCUGAGAAUCUUGACCUAGACCAAUAUCUAAAACAAAUAAAAGUGAAGUAAGUGGACAAGCAAGACAGAUUNAAAUAAUAUGAUACAAAAUAAGGAAUUGAGAUUUAUUUACCUUGGUGGAAUAGUAAACAAGUGUUUAAAGGCCUCUUCGUUGACAUCCUUCAUUUGUCUCAUGAUUGAUUCCCAUGCUUUGGGGUUUGUAGCUGUUGCUGCCUUCCAAAGAAGUUGUCUAAGGUUAAUGCCUGGAUAUUUUUUCCUAAAAUUGGCAUAAAUGUGCCUUACACAAAAANGUUGGUCCACACCAGGCAAUAGUUGUUGUAAAGCUAGCUUAAGUCCCUACGAAAUUAAUGAAGGUUAGUAUGAGUCCAAAACUGGCAUGUUCAACAAAGGAAACAAACAAAGGUAAACAUUCANUUACUUUCUGUUGAUCUGACACAAANGUGCACCUUGAACUGUAUGCCCCACCUCCAACAUCAUCAAUUAACAAUUCUAAAAACCAAGUCCAUGUAUCCUUGUUCUCCACUUCAACCACAGCAUAAGCUAAUGGACACAUUUGNNN
rnacentral:lncRNA from 1 species